AUACAUGGCUUAACUUGUGAUGCAGUUAGUUAGGAGCCACUACCAUGCUUAUGCAAGAAAAAACAUAGUAACCAACAGAAUAGUAAGCAAGUACCUACUCUUGUAACGCAAAAAAAAA
rnacentral:lncRNA from 1 species